ACGAACGCUGGCGGCGUGCUUAACACAUGCAAGUCGAACGGAAAGGCCCUGCUUUUGUGGGGUGCUCGAGUGGCGAACGGGUGAGUAACACGUGAGUAACCUGCCCUUGACUUUGGGAUAACUUCAGGAAACUGGGGCUAAUACCGGAUAGGAGCUCCUGCUGCAUGGUGGGGGUUGGAAAGUUUCGGCGGUUGGGGAUGGACUCGCGGCUUAUCAGCUUGUUGGUGGGGUAGUGGCUUACCAAGGCUUUGACGGGUAGCCGGCCUGAGAGGGUGACCGGCCACAUUGGGACUGAGAUACGGCCCAGACUCCUACGGGAGGCAGCAGUGGGGAAUAUUGCACAAUGGGCGGAAGCCUGAUGCAGCAACGCCGCGUGCGGGAUGACGGCCUUCGGGUUGUAAACCGCUUUCGCCUGUGACGAAGCGUGAGUGACGGCAAUGGGUAAAGAAGCACCGGCUAACUACGUG
rnacentral:rRNA from 1 species